UAUAUAUAUGUCGAGUUAUCAACUAGAAAGGGUAAACACAUUGCUUCAAUGGUUACUUAUUUUUUUAUUUAGAAGGCAACGAAUUUCUUCCGAGGUACGUUCUUCAACUCCAUGUUCCUUUUUUAUUAUUUUUAUCCAUCUUUAUGUAUUCACACGAACACAAGUGCGGAUUCAGGGACGGGCAGGCUAGUGCUACAGCUUGUCCGUCCGCCCCUAAUCCCAUUUAAAAAAACUAGUAAAAAAUUUUUUUUGUGUAAAUUUUUUUUCCCCUGUAUUAGCCCGUGUUCAUGUCGAAAGCUGGAUCCGUCAAUGCACAAACAAGACCGACGGAAAGAAUUGUUAAUCGUUUGAACUUGAUGUCAAUAUCUAAUACGAACAAAUUGUUAAUUCUUUCUCUGUUUUUCGAAUUUAGAUUUUGAUUUUCGAAUUGGAACAGCAGAGAAGAUGGUGAUGACAGACUUGUUUCUCCCCGAAGAAAUAAUCAUUGAGAUCCUGAGUCGGUUACCAGUUAAAUCCCUGUUAAGAUUCAAAUGCGUCUGCAAAACCUGGUUUUCCAUAAUUGAAAAUCCUAAGUUCAUCGACAUGCAUAUGCACCGGGCUCCGUGUACUGUCGAAUACCGAAGUAGCAAUGAUACAGAAUUUACUUUCGUCAGAUAUCGGCAAGGAGAGAGAGAAUUCAACCAAAGCCUACCGAUUGAGGAAUCCGGCUACCAAACAAAUUCUUGAUUUGCCUAUUCCUUGUGACCAAUCAGGUAUUUAUACAAACAUGUGUUACAUCCGGACAACUAAUGAAUUAAAGGUGGUUUAUAUUCAUUACUCCAAGGACGAAGAAAAUAGAAAAGUACUAGUUUACACCCUUUUUAGGGUUGAUACUUGUUUUAAAAGGAAACGAUUAGAUUCCCCUUCCUCGUGUCAUCAUAGAAUUGGUUGGCCAGCCACCAAAGUCAUAGGGACGGUACUCUAUAAGGCAUCAAGCUCAGAUUAAUGGGUGAUUACGUUAUAGAUUGUCCUGAUUUGGAGAAUGAUCGUAUUACAAACACUAUUAAGGUACCACAAGAUUUCUUCUCAGAAUGGAGAAAUGUCUGGUUGGUGGACUUCGAAGGGAAGCUAUCUCUUGCCGGCGUGGAACAAAAGCAUUUGAGUAUUUAGGUUUUGGAAAAUUACAAGCUGAUAGCAAAAUCAGCAUACCCUUGACAUUCCUGAAAGAUUAUCCAAGCAUGUCGAGUGAAAAUAUAACUCCUUAUUGGGUGACAGAAAAUCGAGUUUGGAUGUAUCAUGAUUAUCAGAUAUUCACGUUUGAUAUUGACACUAGAAACGUCAUGUUCAUGACAUCCGCAUCUAAUAAUAAUGAGAUCUUGUACACUAAUAAAUCGAGCCUGCUUCAUGUUAAAGGAAUCCGUCCACUAAGUAAAACUGGAAAAAAUUUCAUUUGUAAACGUUGAGGACAUUUUAACCCCUCAACUGUGCAAAUUCCGGCCGCAAAUCGUCAAGAUUGUGUCAGGUGGUGUAGGAUUUGCG
rnacentral:lncRNA from 1 species